rnacentral:rRNA from 1 species
ACAGAGGUGGCGAGCGUUGUUCGGAUUUAUUGGGCGUAAAGCGAACGCAGGCGGUUUGGUAAGUCAGAGGUGAAAGACCACAGCUUAACUGUGGCACUGCCUUUGAUACUGCCUUUCUUGAGUGCAUGAGGGGGAAGCGGAAUUCCGAGUGUAGAGGUGAAAUUCGUAGAUAUUCGGAGGAACACCGGUGGCGAAGGCGGCUUCCUGGCAUGUAACUGACGCUCAUGUUCGAAAGCGUGGGUAGCAAACAG